rnacentral:rRNA from 1 species
CGGACUGGCCUAGGGAGAGUGGCAACGCUCGCCCAGGGCCGGAAAGUUGUCCAAACUUGGUCAUUUAGAGGAAGUAAAAGUCGUAACAAGGUUUCCGUAGGUGAACCUGCGGAAGGAUCAUUACCGAGCGCGAGGCCACGCAGGGCGCCUGUCCGGUGUUGGCUGACCCUCCACCCGUGUGAAUUAUAUCAAUUGUUGCUUUGGCGGGCCGGGCUCGACCUGCCGGCUCCGGCUGGGGAGUGCCCGCCAGAGAAGCCCCAACUCGUGCUGUCAGUGUUGUCUGAGUGAAUGUGGAAUUAAUAAAACUUUCAACAACGGAUCUCUCGGCUCUGGCAUCGAUGAAGAACGCAGCGAAAUGCGAUAAGUAAUGUGAAUUGCAGAAUUUAGUGAAUCAUCGAAUCUUUGAACGCACAUUGCGCCCCCCGGCAUUCCGAGGGGCAUGCCUGUUCGAGCGUCAGAACACCCCUCAAGCCUAGCUUGGUCUUGGGGCUCGCCGCCUGGCGGCCCCUAAACGCAGUGGCGGUGCCGUUGUGCUCUCCGUGUAGUCAUGUAUCUCGCGACAGAGCGGCGACGGGACCCGCCAGAACCCCCCAAUUUUCUUGAUGACCUCGGAUCAGGUAGGGAUACCCGCUGAACUUAAGCAUAUCAAUAAGCGGAGGAAAAGAAACCAACAGGGAUUACCUCAGUA